AAGUGGUCGUUGGCUGUUGCACGAUCCUAACGGCCAUUCGCGCGAAGUUGCAACCCGAAUCCAUCCGACUCCGGGGGCUCCCUUCCAAGUUCCAGCCCCACCGUCGCUUCUCCAGAGAGUCUCCGCGACAAUGCCCACGCGAAUACGCGAUCCACUCCACGCACCCGAUUCAACCGUCCAUUCUCCUCCACGUGUCCCUUCUCCCUUCUCCCUUCGCUCGUGUUGCACCGACCGCGAAGCAAUCCAAUCCCCGCCUCCCCAACUCUCUCUCUCUCUCGCCCAGCCCCUCGCUCCGCCUUGCAGUUAUACCUCCUUCCUCCGCCGUCCAUUUUUACGUUACUGAGGAAACGGCAGUGCGUUGGGAGCAGCCGCCGCCUCUCCUCCCCAAACGGAACCCUAACAGACGAGCUCUUUCCCUUCCCACUCCUCGCCGCUGCCCUCCUCUAUCCCGCCCCCAUCCCCGGCGGCUUCAACGAACCUGCCGCCGCCGACGUCCUCCUCCGCCUCCAUCCCGACGACCCCGAAUCCGUCACUCCCUCGACCUCCACCUCCUCUCCGCCAAUCCCCACUCCGACCGAUGGCAGGCCCCCGGCCGCGCCGGAGAUAGGAUGCGGCGGCUUUCCCUCAAGAUUCCCCACGCCGGCGACCGCCGCGGCCGCCCCUUCGACCCCCAUGUCGCCGACCUCCGCCUCCUUCACGUCUCCGACUUCGCCGGUGCCAUCCAGUCCGUGGCCAACGCCCUGGUGUUGAUCCUGGCGCUGGAGCUGCUUUUGGAUGAUUGCGUCCGGUUCCUCGAGGCCGUGCCAUGGACGGAGAAGGAGGAGGAGGAGGGGGUCGUCAGGUUGAUCCCCUUCGCGAAGAAGGAUCCCCGGAUCUCAUCGCUAGGGUUUCGCCGAAGGUAGCCGCCGGAGACGGGAAUAGCAUAUCGGAGGAGAUGCUCGGCGAAUUGAUCCACUCGGCGAUCCAUGACCUUCCAAAUGUAAAGGCCUUCGUGGCGAAGCUAUUGCUUAAUGACCCAAGCCUGAGCUUUUUGCGGAGGGUGCUGGACCAAGCCUUCUUGUCGAGCUUGGAGACGGUGAAGGACUUACUGCGGAAGUAUGCGAGCCAAAUUUUCCGGGCGGCAGGGAACGAUGCUAGUUAAGGAUGAAUUUUGUGAAAGGCUGGCUUCCGGUCUGCAGGGAUAUAGCUUCAGAGAUGCCGACUGGUCAUAAUUCAGUUCCCCAGGAACUGGAAGAAACAUUUCUGAGGAUUAUGUCAACACUUCCCAUGUCAGAUGCCCAAGAAUUUCUGCCACAAUGCCUACGCUUCUCCACUCGGAAUGCUGAUGAUUGCCUCCGUCUGACCUCAGAAUUCCAAACCUGGUUCACCCAUGCAAACCGGCAGCUACAUGAUCACAUAGCUAGUGGAACUGAAACUUGCCAAUGAAUACAAAGCAAUGACAAGAUUGUUCGAGACGGUCAUGCCCUUCAGGACAACUGGUAUUUACUUGUAGCUGCACAAGCUGAAAAACAUGUGCAUAUUGUAUCUUCUAAAUUGCUCCUUUUCUGUUGAUCAGCAUGGAUAUUGAUCAAUUUUUAUCAGUCAAGUGUUUGUACAAGUCCUCUUUUGGAGAUUCCAGUGGUGUAGCUUGUUUUCUGUUUCUUUGUGCAUAAUUGUUGCAUGGAACCAUGCUAUGGUAAUGCAUACUGGAAACAAUGGAAACUGUACAUAGUUGCGCAACUGCAUUAUACUGCUUGAGAUCAGA